rnacentral:rRNA from 1 species
GUYUUUUUGAGGAUAAUUUAAAGUUUGACCUGCCCCCUGAGAAUUUAAAGGGCCGCGGUAUUUUGACCGUGCUAAGGUAGCAUAAUCAUUAGUUUUUUAAUUGAAAGCUAGAAUGAAUGGUUGGAUGAAAAAAAAACUGUCUCUUUUUUAUUUUAUUGAAUUUUAUUUUUAAGUAAAAAAGCUUAAAUGAAUUUUAAAGACGAUAAGACCCUAUAGAGUUUAAUAAAAUUAAUUUUAUUAAAUUUUUAGAAAUUUAAUUUUAAUUUAUUGGUUUUAUUUAGUUGGGGUGAUUAAAAAAUUAAUAAAACUUUUUAUAAUUAAAUUUCAUUAAUUUAUGUUUAAUUGAUCUUAUUUUAUUGAUUAAAAGAUUAAAUUACCUUAGGGAUAACAGCGUAAUUUUUUUUGAGAGUUCAAAUCGAAAGGAAAGCUUGCGACCUCGAUGUUGGAUUAAAAUUAAUUUUUGGUGUAGAGGCUAAAAAAUUAGGUC